UCGAACCCAACUUCAUUCGAUAUAUCCUUCGCGUAUAACGUUACGUCGUAUCUCGAGGCAGGCGCUAGGCCAUAUUCCGUUUCUGCCAUUCCGUUCUUGCAAAACUGGGUAUUUCGUUACGUGACAGCUGCCCUCCCCCCGCGCAUUUUGCGUAACACGCGACAAUAGAGAGAGAGAAAGAGACAAAUCGUCAUCCGAGAUGACAAAAAGAUCGAGAAAUUGUUUCGGAUGAUUUUUUUUUUUUUUUGUUUUGCACGAGAAAACACCGACGUGAUGAAGCAAAUACUCGAAGAAGUCGGGACGUCGCGCGCUCGUGGGUACCACGUAAAGUCGCAUAUCGCAGCGUUGCGAGCCGUCGAAGCAAAUCACGAGGAAAUAAAUAAUCGUUACAAAAUCCCUCACAACAAAUUCACUACGUUUCGGCAAACUUCCGAGAUGUCACGAAACGCGGAGUCGCGUGUCACUUUUGACGUGAAUUAAUCAUGAACCAGUUGAGUUGGCAAAUUUCGUCAAGCUCACCGGACCGUUUAUUCGGACAAGUAAUAAAAAGUUUCAAUUGCUCGGGCAAUUGACAAAAGAUUUUGUGCGACGCAGUUAUAUAAAUUAUACACGAUCACGCUGCAGACGUAUCACAAAUAAAACAAAAACUUUUGGUGCAAUUUCCAUUUUUGGAAUGACGCUUUUCGCGACUCCGAUUUGAAUAAACAGAUUCAUUUUAGAAGCGUCUCCGACGAGUUCGGAUUACACCGCUACAUAUGAAGUUCGCACAGCUGGACGUCCUACCCAAAAAGAACAGAUUUUCAAAGAGCAACGGUGCCACGUGCUGAUAAACAUCUACAUUCAUCCGAGAAUGUAACAUACAGGGAGAAUUUAGGCGAUCACUCCGAAAAAAAAAACUACCGUUCGGGGUUUAACAUCUUCCAGCAUCUUCGCAGAACGGGGGUCUGAUGUCUUCAAGAAACGCGACAAGGAAGAAAUGCGAAGCAUAUUCGAGAAUUAUAUCGGUUAUGGAGUUUUCCGAAGAUAGCUUCGACGCACUUUCCGGCAAAAAGGAAUGCGGAAGGAUCGCACCGGCGAUGUGUGUGCGUGGAAACGUUUCGGGAGUUACUUGUCC